rnacentral:tRNA from 1 species
AAUAAAUUAGUUUAAUAAAAAAUUUUUAGUUUGAACCUAAAAGAUAUUUGUAAUAUUUAUUG